rnacentral:rRNA from 1 species
GUGCCAGCAGCCGCGGUAAGACGAACCAUCCAAACGUUAUUAGGAAUCACUGGGCUUAAAGGGUGCGUAGGCGGCGCGAAAAGUUGGGUGUGAAAUACCUCGGCCUAACCGAGGAAUUGCGCCCAAAACUGCCGUGCUCGAGGAAGACAUAGGUGAGCGGAACUUAGGGUGGAGCGGUGAAAUGCGUUGAUAUCCUAAGGAACACCAGUAGCGAAAGCGGCUCACUGGGUCUUAUCUGACGCUGAUGCACGAAAGCCAGGGGAGCGAACGGGAUUAGAUACCCCUGUAGUCC